rnacentral:rRNA from 1 species
CGCGUAGGCGGUUCGCUAAGUCGGAUGUGAAAACUCUGGGCUCAACCCCAGAGCCUGCAUCCGAAACUGGCGGGCUCGAGUUCUGGAGGGGGUAGCGGAAUUCCUGGUGUAGCGGUGAAAUGCGUAGAUAUCAGGAGGAACACCGGUGGCGAAGGCGGCUACCUGGACAGAAACUGACGCUGAGGCGCGAAAGCUAGGGGAGCAAACA